rnacentral:rRNA from 1 species
UUGAACGCUGGCGGAAUGCUUUACACAUGCAAGUCGAACGGCAGCACGGGGGCAGCCCUGGUGGCGAGUGGCGAACGGGUGAGUAAUACAUCGGAACGUGCCCGGUCGUGGGGGAUAACGUAGCGAAAGUUACGCUAAUACCGCAUACGAUCUGAGGAUGAAAGCGGGGGACCUUCGGGCCUCGCGCGAUCGGAGCGGCCGAUGUCAGAUUAGGUAGUUGGUGGGGUAAAGGCCUACCAAGCCGACGAUCUGUAGCUGGUCUGAGAGGACGACCAGCCACACUGGGACUGAGACACGGCCCAGACUCCUACGGGAGGCAGCAGUGGGGAAUUUUGGACAAAGGGCGCAAGCCUGAUCCAGCCAUUCCGCGUGCAGGACGAAGGCCUUCGGGUUGUAAACUGCUUUUGUACGGAACGAAAAGGCUCUGGCUAAUACCUGAGGCUCAUGACGGUACCGUAAGAAUAAGCACCGGCUAACUACGUG